rnacentral:rRNA from 1 species
GACGAACGCUGGCGGCGUGCUUAACACAUGCAAGUCGAACGCAGUGGCGAACGGGUGAGUAACGCGUAAUCAACCUGCCCUUCAGCGGGGGACAACAGUUGGAAACGACUGCUAAUACCGCAUACUGAAGGAGGGGAUUGCGUCUGAUUAGCUAGUUGGAGGGGUAACGGCCCACCAAGGCGAUGAUCAGUAGCCGAUUUGAGAGGAUGAACGGCCAAAUGGGGAAUGAGAAACGGCCCAGACUCCUACGGGAGGCAGCAGUGGGGAAUCUUCCGAAAUGGAAGAAAGUCUGACGGAGCAACGCCGCGGGAGUGAUGACGGCCUUCGGGUGGUAAAGCUAUGUUAAUCGGGACGCGGUACCGGAAUAGAAAGCCACGGCUAACUACGUGCCAGCAGCCGCGGUAAUAC